UGAAUGCUAGGUGUAGGAGGUAUCGACCCCUCCUGUGCCGGAGUUAACGCAAUAAGCAUUCCGCCUGGGGAGUACGGCCGCAAGGCUGAAACUCAAAGGAAUUGACGGGGGCCCGCACAAGCGGUGGAGUAUGUGGUUUAAUUCGACGCAACGCGAAGAACCUUACCAGGGCUUGACAUUGAGUGAAAGAGCUGGAGACAGCUCCCUCCCUUCGGGGACACGAAAACAGGUGGUGCAUGGCUGUCGUCAG
rnacentral:rRNA from 1 species